CCCACAUCCCCCGCGCCUGGAGGGCCUAAUCACCGAAGGUGCUGAUGAGGGGAUAUGUGUUGCAGCGGACAGGGAUUGAGAAUGCAGGGGAGCGGUGUGAAGGGGUCGGGGUUUGGCAAAGGUGGAAGUGACGGCGUGUCUCCUACAGUCUCGCUGUCACUCAGGCUGCAGUGCAGUGAUGCAAUUUCUGCUCACUGCAACCUCCACCUCUCGGGUUCAAGUGAUUCUUCUGCCUCAGCCUCCCGAGUAGCUGGGACUACAGGCGUGCACCACCACACCCGGCUAAUUUUUGUAUUUUUAGUAGAGACGGGGUUUCACCAUAUUGGCCAGGCUGGUCUCAAACUCCUGACCAGGAGAGGCUCUUUUCCAUGGUUCCUGUGUGUUCCUCUGUACUAGGUUGAAUAAUAUCCACCCUCAAAUUUAUGUCCACUCAAAACCUGUGAAGAUGACCUUAUUUGGAAGUAGGGUCUUUCCAGAUGCAAUCAAGUUAAGAUGAGGGCAGAGUGAAUUAGGGCAGGUCUGAAUCCAAUGACUGCUGUCCUUAUAAGGAGAGGGAGAUUUGGAGACAGAGGGACAGAGAAAGACAGGCAAGGACGCCAUGUGAAGGUGGAAGCAGAGCUUGGAGGGAUGUUGCCACAAGCCAAGGAGUGUCUGGAGCCACCAGAAGCUGGAAAAGGUGGGGAAGGAUCCUCCCUCAGAGCCUGUAGAGUGCACAUUCCUGCCAAUACCUUGAUUUGGGACUUCCGGUCUCCAGAACUGUGAGAGGAUGAAUUUUCGUUCCUUUAAGCCACCCCAUUUGUGGUAAUUUGUUAUGGCAGGCCUAAGACAUGAACACAUCUUUUCAGCCAGCUCUGCCAUGCACCAUGGCCAGCAGAGCUUGGUGCCUCCCCUUGGCAACUUCCCAGUACCACAGUUAGUUCUCUUGGUGCAGCUCGCCAGCAAACUUCGCCAUCCAGCAAAACACCACCAUGUCUCCUCCAGCGAGGUUUGGAUCCUUAACCCUGGCAGAUGGGAGCUGUUUCAGAGUUGUUUCUUCCUCGCUGUUCUGCCUCAAACUAGAGGUAGAGGCUGCUCCCUGCAUCUGUUACACCCGCGUGAAAGGAAAAUAAAAUCUCGGGACCCUAAUUCACUCUGCCAAAAGGAAAAAUUAAGCUCAAAGCUGAGUCAUGCAAGAAGCUGCCUUUCCUUUUGUUCCCCAACAGAGAGCUACCGAUCAAGGUUAAAUAUCUCCAUGGGUAGCUCCUCUAUGUUCACCCUAUCUAAUGUAAAAUGCCAGUUUACUGGCUGUGAGAUGAAUACAUAAUUGACUAUUCCCCUACCUGCUCCUUUUCUCUAGUAUCGUGGAUCACCAGACCCUCUCUCUUUCCCCUCCAGCACACUUUUCCCCUUUAACUAUUAAAGCCCUCAAAAUCAUCUUUGGAGAAAGGCACAGACCACAGACUUUCUGUUAUUCCAUGUUCUUUUCUUCCAGAUGUGUUCUUAACCUUGGCAAAAAUAAACCUCUAAAUUGAUGGA